UUGGUGAUGGCAACACAAGAUUAAGGGUUACAUGCUUCGGAUGUCAAGAAAGCGCUUGAGAAUAGCAAGAUUUCUGACCGUCAAGUUCAUGUCAAAUGGUGGAAGCUAGGUAGAUGGUUCUAUAGAUUCCGUAUGCGUGACGAAUCCCAUUCUCGAUGUCUCUCUCUGGAAGAUCUUGCAACAUUAAAGGACGAUGCGGACGUGCUGGGGGUACUUCACCGAGGAGCGAUUCAUGAGGUUUUACAAGUUCAGAUAUCCGUUGUUAAUUCCACAAGCAGUGCCUGGCUUAAUCAAAGCUCACAAUGACUAGUUUAAACCAUGGGGAACAAUUAUGAACAGAUUUGCAUAUGCACAGUGUUUAUCUCAUGAUUUGUAUAAUUUAUUCCCAGUAGGUAUGUGAGCUAAUAUGCAU